rnacentral:rRNA from 1 species
UACGUAGGGGGCAAGCGUUGUCCGGAAUCAUUGGGCGUAAAGCGCGCGUAGGCGGCUCAGUUAGUCGGCUGUGAAAGUCAAGGGCUCAACCCUUGAAUGCCGGUCGAUACUGCCGGACUAGAGUCCGGAAGAGGCAAGUGGAAUUCCCGGUGUAGCGGUGAAAUGCGCAGAUAUCGAGAGGAACACCUGCGGCGAAGGCGGGUUGCUAGGCUGACACUGACGCUGAGUGCGCGAAAGCCAGGGAGCAAACGGG